rnacentral:rRNA from 1 species
ACGGGUGGUAAUGCCGGAUGCUCCAUCACAUCGCAUGGUGUGUUGGGAAAGCCUUUGCGGCAUGGGAUGGGGUCGCGUCCUAUCAGCUUGAUGGCGGGGUAACGGCCCACCAUGGCUUCGACGGGUAGCCGGCCUGAGAGGGCGACCGGCCACAUUGGGACUGAGAUACGGCCCAGACUCCUACGGGAGGCAGCAGUGGGGAAUAUUGCACAAUGGGCGCAAGCCUGAUGCAGCGACGCCGCGUGAGGGAUGGAGGCCUUCGGGUUGUAAACCUCUUUUGUUAGGGAGCAAGGCAYUUUGUGUUGAGUGUACCUUUCGAAUAAGCACCGGCUAACUACGUGCCAGCAGCCGCGGUAAUACGUAGGGUGCAAGCGUUAUCCGGAAUUAUUGGGCGUAAAGGGCUCGUAGGCGGUUCGUCGCGUCCGGUGUGAAAGUCCAUCGCUUAACGGUGGAUCCGCGCCGGGUACGGGCGGGCUUGAGUGCGGUAGGGGAGACUGGAAUUCCCGGUGUAACGGUGGAAUGUGUAGAUAUC